UACGAAGGGUGCAAGCGUUACUCGGAAUUACUGGGCGUAAAGCGUGCGUAGGCGGUUUGUUAAGUCCGUUGUGAAAGCCCCGGGCUCAACCUGGGAAUUGCAGUGGAUACUGGCGAGCUAGAGUGCGGUAGAGGAUGGUGGAAUUCCCGGUGUAGCGGUGAAAUGCGUAGAGAUCGGGAGGAACAUCAGUGGCGAAGGCGGCCAUCUGGGACAACACUGACGCUGAGGCACGAAAGCGUGGGGAGCAAACAGG
rnacentral:rRNA from 1 species